rnacentral:rRNA from 1 species
CAGCAGCCGCGGUAAUACGAAGGGUGCAAGCGUUAAUCGGAAUUACUGGGCGUAAGGCGUGCGUAGGCGGUGAGUUAAGUCUGCUGUGAAAUCCCCGGGCUCAACCUGGGAAUGGCAGUGGAUACUGGCUCGCUAGAGUGUGUCAGAGGAUGGUGGAAUUCCCGGUGUAGCGGUGAAAUGCGUAGAGAUCGGGAGGAACAUCAGUGGCGAAGGCGGCCAUCUGGGACAACACUGACGCUGAGGCACGAAAGCGUGGGGAGCAAACAGGAUUAGAUACCCGCGUAGUCCCUGUCUCUUAUAC